AUUGAACGCUGGCGGCAUGCCUUACACAUGCAAGUCGAACGGCAGCACGGACUUCGGUCUGGUGGCGAGUGGCGAACGGGUGAGUAAUGUAUCGGAACGUACCUUUCAGUGGGGGAUAACGUAGCGAAAGUUACGCUAAUACCGCAUAUUCUGUGAGCAGGAAAGCAGGGGAUCGCAAGACCUUGCGCUGAUUGAGCGGCCGAUAUCAGAUUAGCUAGUUGGUGGGGUAAAAGCCUACCAAGGCGACGAUCUGUAGCGGGUCUGAGAGGAUGAUCCGCCACACUGGAACUGAGACACGGUCCAGACUCCUACGGGAGGCAGCAGUGGGGGAAUUUUGGACAAUGGGGGCAACCCUGAUCCAGCCAUGCCGCGUGAGUGAAGAAGGCCU
rnacentral:rRNA from 1 species